AAGCAAAGUCGGCUAACUAAGCUUUUGGGCCCAUACCCCAACAAUGUAGGUUAAACCCCUUCCUUUGCUAU
rnacentral:tRNA from 1 species